AAGCUAAUGCACUGUGCCAGCAAAGUGCUUAUGAAAAUAGAAGGUUAUAUACCUAUCUAUUAUUAGUUUCAAACUUUUAAGCAACGACCUAACUCUCUAAACAAAGUAAUUACCAAUACUUAAUAAACUAACUGUUUAAUUUUUUUAAAUUGAUUCUUGUUUUGUCAAGUACAAGAAAUGAUAGGGAAAAAAUCUCAACUUGAUCUGAGAAAUGAUGUGUACAAAAAUUGUACCAGACAGAAAAACAGAGUGUGUUGAUUUAAGCUUUGUAAAAAUAUUGGUAUGAUUUCAUAGAUACAGGCACUGUUGAUAGAAACAUUUGCAUAUAAACAAGAAAAAUCCAAAGGUUAUUUUAUCAAUAACUAUAAUGUAAAUACAAAAG